UCAUGUGGGAAACAUUGCAAGGUGACC
rnacentral:rRNA from 1 species